rnacentral:rRNA from 1 species
GACGAACGCUGGCGGCGUGCUUAACACAUGCAAGUCGAACGGAAAGGCCCUGCUUUUGUGGGGUGCUCGAGUGGCGAACGGGUGAGUAACACGUGAGUAACCCGCCCUUGACUUUGGGAUAACUUCAGGAAACUGGGGCUAAUACCGGAUAGGAGCUCCUGCUGCAUGGUGGGGGUUGGAGAGUUUCGGCGGUUGGGGAUGGACUCGCGGCUUAUCAGCUUGUUGGUGGGGUAGUGGCUUACCAAGGCUUUGACGGGUAGCCGGCCUGAGAGGGUGACCGGCGACAUUGGGACUGAGGUACGGCCCAGACUCCUACGGGAGGCAGCAGUGGGGAAUAUUGCACAAUGGGCGGAAGCCUGAUGCAGCAGCGUCGCGUGCGGGAUGACGGCCUUCGGGUUGUAAACCGCUUUCGCCUGUGACGAAGCGUGAGUGACGGUAAUGGGUAAAGAAGCACCGGCUAACUACGUG